CGUACCUGUGCCUUUCAAGCUACAUCCAGUGAAACCUUGGGAUUUAAUUAUAAUAGUCAUGGUAAUAUCUAAAAGUUCGUGUUACAAACUGUAGCACAUGGAGAAUUGGUGCACAUUAAACUGCAUCACCAAAUUCUUAUGAAGUGCUUUUGUUGGCACUUUACAUACAGUCACCAUUAACAGCAUUACACUGUUAUAAUACAUACAUUUUCUACACCACAAUGUAUAACUACAAUAAUUAUAAGAAUAAUAAUAGAAAAAAAACAACAUACAUUCGUAUCCCCAAACAUCCAGGAAAGUUUUGCAUAUUUGCUAAAGUGUAAAGAUUAAACACAAAAAGUUGAUCUACCUUCACAUUUGUUAACUAUACAGUUUUGACUUAAAUAGAUUACAACAUGGUCAUGUGAUGAGGUUUGAUCAAAAUGAACCCACUAGAACCCGAUCAAGUGGAUCAAAGGUUUCUAGAUGAGUAAAAGCUAUACAAGUUGGCUUGUGUGUAGGGCUGCCACAAACGAUUAUUUUGAUAGUCGACUAGUCAUCUUAGUCGACUAAUCAGAUCAUGCAUCCAUUGGACGUAAAACGUACAGCUUAUUGCACCAGCAUGCGUCUGCUCUUAUAUAACUAUCAUUAGCUUACAGCUUGAAGUGUUUGUGCUAACUAAAAAUAAAGACAAGAUGAUAGUUUAUUAAAUUUUAAUGAAAUUUGCAGAUUGCUUCGGUGAAGUUUAGUAAACUCCUUGCUAUCUAAACUAUAACAGGAAACCGGAGUAUAUUCUCGAGCAUCUCACACUUCUGAUAAUCAGCUGUCGUCUUGAUGUUUAUUCAGCUGUGUAAAAACUAUAACUAAUCUCAGCCAAACCGUUUUACUCAGGAACAAAUAAAAUACUAAAAAAGCCAAACAAUAACAUUUUGAAGUUAUCUAAGUGACUUAUAUAUAUUUAACCUGAGUAGCGAAAGACUGCAGUUGGUUUGAAAACGAUUUGCAGGGAGUCCGGUGCUCUCACGGGCUCUAGUGAGCCUUGCCCACCGGCUAGCUAUCGAGCUAGUGGGUAACAGACGUCUCCGAAAACGUGGGAGCGCUUUUGGAAAUAUGUGGUGUCUUGAUAAACUGAGCAGAUAUUUGAGGUUUACACAGCUACAUUCUCGCCUGAAAAUAUGUUAAACGUUUAUUUUGUGACCCAGAAAGAAUAAUAUUAAAACUAACUAGCUGCCGCCAUUGUUGUAAACUGAGCUGGGCUGCGCUAUAAAUUCUGGGACACAGCUUCUUCUUCUUCGGGUUUAACGGCAGCUGGCAUCCUUGUACAUGCAGUGCUGCCAUCUUCUGUUUCAGUCCGUUAUUACACUCUUAAAUCCUACUACUCAUUCCUGCGUCUUUUGUGACCUUACAAAGCUUCAAACGACGCGUCGGCUAUUAAAUCAGUCGUCGACGAUUUUGAUAGUCGAUGUAAUCGUGACUAGUCGACUAAUCGUGGCAGCCCUACCUGUGUGUGUAAGUGAGACAUAAUCAAAACAUGUGGUCGACAUGCAGGAAUGACAAGAAUUCAAACAUCCAUUUCAUUGAUUCGUAACAUUAGAAAGUCUGAAUGAACUGUGAGACCAAUCACACACACAUACACACAGACAGAAGUAGACCCAACAUGUUUACAUCAAAAAAGUAAUUUUAGGUCUCCAUCAUGUUGGAGCCACUCAUGUUUCAUUGUGUUGGCCCCUGUGCAGGAGACGCCAUUCACUCCUCUAAACUCGAUGACGCUUUGCUAAAUAGCGAG
ensembl:lncRNA